rnacentral:rRNA from 1 species
CCUACGGGAGGCAGCAGUGAGGAAUAUUGGUCAAUGGUCGGGAGACUGAACCAGCCAAGCCGCGUGAGGGAUGAAGGUACAGAGUAUCGUAAACCUCUUUUGUCAGGGAACAAAGGCGGGGACGUGUCCCCGGAUGAGUGUACCUGAAGAAAAAGCAUCGGCUAACUCCGUGCCAGCAGCCGCGGUAAUACGGAGGAUGCGAGCGUUAUCGGGAUUUAUUGGGUGUAAAGGGUGCGCUGGCGGUCUGUUAAGUCAGCGGUAAAAGCCCGUGGCUCAACCCCGGCCCGCCGUUGAAACUGGCAGUCUCGAGUUGGAGAGAAGUAUGCGGAAUGCGCGGUGUAGCGGUGAAAUGCAUAGAUAUCGCGCAGAACUCCGAUUGCGAAGGCAGCAUGCCGGCUCCACACUGACGCUGAGGCACGAAAGCGUGGGUAUCGAACAGGAUUAGAUACCCUUGUAGUC